rnacentral:rRNA from 1 species
AGUCAACAUGCCCAGGGGACGUGGAUAACCUCGGGAAACUGAGGAUAAACCGCGAUAGGUCAUAAUGUCUGGAAUGAUUUAUGGCUCAAAUCUACAUGGCCCCUGGAUUGGACUGCGGCCGAUCAGGCUGUUGGUGAGGUAAUGGCCCACCAAACCUAAAACCGGUACGGGCUCUGAGAGGAGAAGCCCGGAGAUGGGCACUGAGACAAGGGCCCAGGCCCUAUGGGGCGCAGCAGGCGCGAAAACUCUGCAAUAAGCGAAAGCUUGACAGGGUUAUUCUGAGUGAUUUCCGCUAAGGAGAUCUUUUGGCACCUCUAAAAAUGGUGCAGAAUAAGGGGUGGGCAAGCCUGGUGUCAGCCGCCGCGGUAAUACCAGCACCCCGAGUGGUCGGGACGAUUAUUGGGCCUAAGCAUCCGUAGCCGGUUCUACAAGUCUUCCGUUAAAUCCACCUGCUUAACAGUUGGGCUGCAGAGGAUACUAUAGAGCUAGGAGGCGGGAGAGGCAAGCGGUACUUAGUGGGUAGGGGUAAAAUCCGUUGAUCCACUGAAGACCACCAGUGGCGAAGGCGGCUUGCCAGAACGCGCUCGACGGUGAGGGAUGAAAGCUGGGGGAGCAAACCGGAUUAGAUACCCGGGUAGUCCCAGCUGUAAACGAUGCAGACUCGGUGAUGAAUAGGCUUCGUGCCUAUUCAGUGCCGCAGGGAAGCCGUUAAGUCUGCCGCCCGGGGAGUACGGUCGCAAGACUGAAACUUAA